rnacentral:rRNA from 1 species
UUAAGCGACUAAGCGUACACGGUGGAUGCCCUGGCAGUCAGAGGCGAUGAAGGACGUGCUAAUCUGCGAUAAGCGUCGGUAAGGUGAUAUGAACCGUUAUAACCGGCGAUUUCCGAAUGGGGAAACCCAGUGUGUUUCGACACACUAUCAUUAACUGAAUCCAUAGGUUAAUGAGGCGAACCGGGGGAACUGAAACAUCUAAGUACCCCGAGGAAAAGAAAUCAACCGAGAUUCCCCCAGUAGCGGCGAGCGAACGGGGAGGAGCCCAGAGCCUGAAUCAGUGUGUGUGUUAGUGGAAGCGUCUGGAAAGGCGCGCGAUACAGGGUGACAGCCCCGUACACAAAAAUGCACAUGCUGUGAGCUCGAUGAGUAGGGCGGGACACGUGGUAUCCUGUCUGAAUAUGGGGGGACCAUCCUCCAAGGCUAAAUACUCCUGACUGACCGAUAGUGAACCAGUACCGUGAGGGAAAGGCGAAAAGAACCCCGGCGAGGGGAGUGAAAAAGAACCUGAAACCGUGUACGUACAAGCAGUGGGAGCACAGAGCAAUCUGUGUGACUGCGUACCUUUUGUAUAAUGGGUCAGCGACUUAUAUUCUGUAGCAAGGUUAACCGAAUAGGGGAGCCGAAGGGAAACCGAGUCUUAACUGGGCGUUAAGUUGCAGGGUAUAGACCCGAAACCCGGUGAUCUAGCCAUGGGCAGGUUGAAGGUUGGGUAACACUAACUGGAGGACCGAACCGACUAAUGUUGAAAAAUUAGCGGAUGACUUGUGGCUGGGGGUGAAAGGCCAAUCAAACCGGGAGAUAGCUGGUUCUCCCCGAAAGCUAUUUAGGUAGCGCCUCGUGAAUUCAUCUCCGGGGGUAGAGCACUGUUUCGGCAAGGGGGUCAUCCCGACUUACCAACCCGAUGCAAACUGCGAAUACCGGAGAAUGUUAUCACGGGAGACACACGGCGGGUGCUAACGUCCGUCGUGAAGAGGGAAACAACCCAGACCGCCAGCUAAGGUCCCAAAGUCAUGGUUAAGUGGGAAACGAUGUGGGAAGGCCCAGACAGCCAGGAUGUUGGCUUAGAAGCAGCCAUCAUUUAAAGAAAGCGUAAUAGCUCACUGGUCGAGUCGGCCUGCGCGGAAGAUGUAACGGGGCUAAACCAUGCACCGAAGCUGCGGCAGCGACACUGUGUGUUGUUGGGUAGGGGAGCGUUCUGUAAGCCUGUGAAGGUGUGCUGUGAGGCAUGCUGGAGGUAUCAGAAGUGCGAAUGCUGACAUAAGUAACGAUAAAGCGGGUGAAAAGCCCGCUCGCCGGAAGACCAAGGGUUCCUGUCCAACGUUAAUCGGGGCAGGGUGAGUCGACCCCUAAGGCGAGGCCGAAAGGCGUAGUCGAUGGGAAACAGGUUAAUAUUCCUGUACUUGGUGUUACUGCGAAGGGGGGACGGAGAAGGCUAUGUUGGCCGGGCGACGGUUGUCCCGGUUUAAGCGUGUAGGCUGGUUUUCCAGGCAAAUCCGGAAAAUCAAGGCUGAGGCGUGAUGACGAGGCACUACGGUGCUGAAGCAACAAAUGCCCUGCUUCCAGGAAAAGCCUCUAAGCAUCAGGUAACAUCAAAUCGUACCCCAAACCGACACAGGUGGUCAGGUAGAGAAUACCAAGGCGCUUGAGAGAACUCGGGUGAAGGAACUAGGCAAAAUGGUGCCGUAACUUCGGGAGAAGGCACGCUGAUAUGUAGGUGAAGUCCCUCGCGGAUGGAGCUGAAAUCAGUCGAAGAUACCAGCUGGCUGCAACUGUUUAUUAAAAACACAGCACUGUGCAAACACGAAAGUGGACGUAUACGGUGUGACGCCUGCCCGGUGCCGGAAGGUUAAUUGAUGGGGUCAGCGCAAGCGAAGCUCUUGAUCGAAGCCCCGGUAAACGGCGGCCGUAACUAUAACGGUCCUAAGGUAGCGAAAUUCCUUGUCGGGUAAGUUCCGACCUGCACGAAUGGCGUAAUGAUGGCCAGGCUGUCUCCACCCGAGACUCAGUGAAAUUGAACUCGCUGUGAAGAUGCAGUGUACCCGCGGCAAGACGGAAAGACCCGUGAACCUUUACUAUAGCUUGACACUGAACAUUGAGCCUUGAUGUGUAGGAUAGGUGGGAGGCUUUGAAGUGUGGACGCCAGUCUGCAUGGAGCCGACCUUGAAAUACCACCCUUUAAUGUUUGAUGUUCUAACGUGGACCCGUGAUCCGGGUUGCGGACAGUGUCUGGUGGGUAGUUUGACUGGGGCGGUCUCCUCCUAAAGAGUAACGGAGGAGCACGAAGGUUGGCUAAUCCUGGUCGGACAUCAGGAGGUUAGUGCAAUGGCAUAAGCCAGCUUGACUGCGAGCGUGACGGCGCGAGCAGGUGCGAAAGCAGGUCAUAGUGAUCCGGUGGUUCUGAAUGGAAGGGCCAUCGCUCAACGGAUAAAAGGUACUCCGGGGAUAACAGGCUGAUACCGCCCAAGAGUUCAUAUCGACGGCGGUGUUUGGCACCUCGAUGUCGGCUCAUCACAUCCUGGGGCUGAAGUAGGUCCCAAGGGUAUGGCUGUUCGCCAUUUAAAGUGGUACGCGAGCUGGGUUUAGAACGUCGUGAGACAGUUCGGUCCCUAUCUGCCGUGGGCGCUGGAGAACUGAGGGGGGCUGCUCCUAGUACGAGAGGACCGGAGUGGACGCAUCACUGGUGUUCGGGUUGUCAUGCCAAUGGCACUGCCCGGUAGCUAAAUGCGGAAGAGAUAAGUGCUGAAAGCAUCUAAGCACGAAACUUGCCCCGAGAUGAGUUCUCCCUGACCCUUUAAGGGUCCUGAAGGAACGUUGAAGACGACGACGUUGAUAGGCCGGGUGUGUAAGCGCAGCGAUGCGUUGAGCUAACCGGUACUAAUGAACCGUGAGGCUUAACCUU